GCGGGAAACAGCUGCGCAAGUAAUCUGGUAUUUCUGUAAUAUAUUCCGCGUGCAUCUACACCGUACGUAGUGAGAAUAUAACGACGAGCAUUAACUUCUUAACCACGGAGACGUAGAGAAAGAGGAAAAACGGAAGAAAAAGAGGAGAGAUAAAGAGCAACAAAGAGAAGAAGAAAGAGAAGGGCUUCCAGUAUUUUGUGACGCCUCUCGAGCCUCUCUGCGUGCACCGGCGCCCUCACCGACGGACCUGCCGCGCCUCCACCUGGACACGUGCAGGGGGCGGCGGCGCAAACAGUGGAAACAGGUGAACCCCGGUAUAACAACCCCGGCUCCUGUGUACUCAAGCGUCGGGUCACUCUAGCGGGGUUCAGGUUCCGGCUCACCUGUCAGAUUAUGUAAAUAGCGAAGGAUUAUCACCUGUGUGGCUACCUGCUGGUGAUUACAGGGACUCAAGGGCGUGGUAAGGAGGUACUGGAAGGCGCCCCUAGUGUCCGGUGAGCCUGCGCGCGCCCACACCCACGCCACCUCGUAAGGAUGUAGGUUUAAGCACAAGCAUAGUGUUAGUCUCUCUCUCUCUCUCUCUCUCUCUCUCUCUCUCUCUCUCUCUCUC